rnacentral:rRNA from 1 species
AUGGAUGAGGUCACAAGGGGUAUACAAGGAGAUAUCCCAUGGUGUAUGCUCUUUGCGGAUGAUGUGGUGCUAGUUGACGAUAGUCGGACGGGGGUAAAUAGGAAGUUAGAGUUAUGGAGACAAACCUUGGAAUCGAAAGGGUUUAGGCUUAGUAGAACUAAAACCGAGUACAUGAUGUGUGGUUUCAGUACUACUAGCUGUGAGGAGGAGGAGGUUAGCCUUGAUGGCCAGGUGGUACCUCGGAAGGACACCUUUCGGUAUUUGGGGUCAAUGUUGCAGGAGGAUGGGGGUAUUGAUGAAGAUGUGAACCAUCGAAUCAAAGCCGGAUGGAUGAAGUGGCGCCAAGCUUCUGGCAUUCUCUGUGACAAGAGAGUGCCACAAAAGCUAAAAGGCAAGUUCUACAGGACGGCGGUUCGACCCGUAAUGUUGUAUGGCGCGGAGUGUUGGCCGACUAAAAGGCGACAUGUUCAACAGUUAGGUGUGGCGGAGAUGCGUAUGUUGAGAUGGAUGUGUGGCCACACGAGGAAGGAUCGAGUCCGGAAUGAUGAUAUACGAGAUAGAGUUGGGGUAGCACCAAUUGAGGAGAAGCUUGUCCAACAUCGUUUGAGAUGGUUUGGGCAUAUUCAGCGCAGGCCUCCAGAAGCUCCAGUGCAUAGCGGACGGCUAAAGCGUGCGGAGAAUGUCAAGAGAGGGCGGGGUCGACCGAUUUUGACAUGGGAGGAGUCCGUUAAGAGAGACCUGAAGGAUUGGAGUAUCGACAAAGAGCUAGCUAUGGACAGGGGUGCGUGGAAGCUUGCUAUCCAUGUGCCAGAGCCAUGA